rnacentral:miRNA from 1 species
GACGUCGAUAUUCGACGUCAUAAACACGAUCAACUUUGGUGUUUAUGACGUCGAUAUUCGACGUCAUAAACACGAUCAACUUUGGUGUUUAUGACGUCGAUAUUCGACGUCAUAAACACGAUCAACUUUGGUGUUUAUGACGUCGUAUAUUCGACGUCAUAAACACGAUCAACUUUGGUGUUUAUGACGUCGAAAAUCGACGUCAUAAACACGAUCAACUUUGGUGUUUAUGACGUCGAUAUUCGACGUCAUAAACACGAUCAACUUUGGUGUUUAUGACGUCGAUAUUCGACGUC